rnacentral:lncRNA from 1 species
UUCUCUUAGUCGGGCUGGCGACUUAAAACUAGCGCUGCAUGGGAGGCAACCCAUGUUUUCUUGCUUUUUCUUGUUUCGUUUUUCUUUCGUUUUGUUUGUGUUGUGUUUUGUUGCUUCUGCUGUUUGGUGCAGGUUGUUGCGUUGGAGACUGCUUGUUCUAUGGAUAAGAGAGAGGCAGACAUCGUGGGACACUACAGACUCACCACUGGAUCGGUAUUUAGGGAAGUUUCCUCUUUCACCCCUCUUUUUGUUUGCACUGAGGACAGUGCCAGAUUUUAAGUGGGG